UACGUAGGGACCGAGCGUUGUCCGGAAUCAUUGGGCGUAAAGAGCUCGUAGGCGGUUUGUCGCGUCUGCUGUGAAAACCCGAGGCUCAACCUCGGGCCUGCAGUGGGUACGGGCAGACUAGAGUGGCGGUAGGGGAGACUGGAAUUCCUGGUGUAGCGGUGAAAUGCGCAGAUAUCGAGGAGGGAACACCGGUGGGCGAAGG
rnacentral:rRNA from 1 species